UGGGGAAUAUUGCACAAUGUGGGGAACCCUGAUGCAGCGACGCCGCGUGAAGGAAGAAGUAUCUCGGUAUGUAAACUUCUAUCAGCAGGGAAGACAAUGACGGUACCUGACUAAGAAGCCCCGGCUAACUACGUGCC
rnacentral:rRNA from 1 species